GCGCACCCAGUCGAAGUGGCGAGCUCCGGUCGACUAAUGUGAGAAAUAUAGAGAGGCGCAGGCCUCCUCAUUGGCACUCUAGAGAAAAGGGGAGGAAUAUAAAAAAGAAAAAAGGGACCUUUAAGACUGGGGGCUGGCACGGCCAAAAAAGCCGCCACCAGUGGAAGCAAGCGGGAUUGGAUGAGGAUGAACUUGGAUCUGGAACUUACAUGCUGAUGCUCACGAUCUCCGAGGACUUGAGCGGCUGGAUUGUUUACUGAACGUCCCAUUUGAUAGGGAGAUACCAGGAAUCCUUCUGGGAAUCCCAGCCAAAAUCGGAAAUGCCAUUUCCCCAAAAGCCUCCAAUUCGACUCUUUUUUCUUGAAUUUAACAAGAUUGAACAUGUGGGGGGAUCCGAACAUUGGAUUUGAUACAUGAAAACAACCGGAAAGAGAAAGACCAUUUACUAAAUGUUGGCGAAGGCGACCAAGCUAAGCUACGCAACUAGGUUCGGAACUCUUUUUGUACAUUUACUCAUCCGCGGGAUACGAUCCCCUAGAAAGGGUAGACCUGGGAACUGAAGGGAUCCUCCGUAUUGAAUUGAAGAAAGUCAGCCCCGGGGGCAAGGAAGGUUAACCCCCGAAAUCCAUCUUGGGGGGACUGACUCACAUAGAGGAAAGGGAAGCACCGGGCACACUGUCCUUACGAAGAAAGCACAGGGAAAUAGUGAAACUUUGAAUACUUAGCCCGCAAAACCCGACAACUGGACUCACGCCGACACAUCAAAAUGACGAACUUUCUCCUUUCUACUUGGCUGGUGGCCACCUGGCUGUCUCGAGUUGCCCUCUUUCACUUACUGUCCUUGACACAUUAGCAAUUUCCUUCUCUGCUCCUCUCAAGUUAAUAUCAUCCCUGGUUUUGUUCUUUCCUGACGGGGCAGCGUAUGGCUAAUAGGUCUCCCCUCUCUUAAUGGUAUCUGGGCAGUCAAAAUUCAUUCCAUUUCUUCCCCAAAUUCCUUUGACUAGUUCCGUAUAUAGAAUCAUUCCUUAUCUAUUGCCUAUAAAGGUGAUUUUAGGUUGAGCAUUAGUACCAAGGUUGACAUCAAUAGCUUCUUCGACUUUAUAUAUGGUAGACCCAUAUUCUGUGCAGGAGCUGGGGGGCCCCCCUUAUCUGUUUCUUCUUCGACAUUUAGGCAAGAAUGACCGCUGAUGUAAUUUGUAUGAAAAGUGGUUUUAUGGUCAUUGAUAGGAAGGUUUGACCCCCUAAGUAUUCAAGUAAAGCCUCGUCAUUGUAAAAUUCAUCCAAAGGGAUGUAUUCUCUAGACUCCAAUCGAUAAGGUCUGGAUACUAAACUCUGAACACUGAGUGUCAAUGAGGCUCAUGAAAGACUUUGGCGACAUGAAGGUCAUCACUAGAUUUAGAUGCUGUGUCAUCAGAUAGUUAAGAGAAUUCUUUUAGAUUCGUAUCAGAACCAGAUAUGUCCUCUAUGUCGUCAUCCGAAUCAGAUAAGACUUCGUCAGGCAGGUUUAGGAGGGUUUUUAAGACCGCUCAACUGGUUCUAGAAUUCUUUGCUGUUGAGGUCGGCUUGACCAUUAUAAUAAGUGAACUGUUGAAACAUCUUAGUAGCAGUCGGAAGUUCCGUUGAUAACAAGAGGUUUUGUGGACUCAGGUUCGUCGUCAACAUUCUUAUAUGUUCCUAGAUAAUCAUCUCUGCUCCAUGGACGAACGUGGAGUUGCCAAGACGGACUCUCUCUCCUUGCAUUACUUGUGACCUCCUGGGGAAGUUAGGCUUGCCAAAGGCGGGGAUGGAGGUAGGUUAGGAAUAUGAAAUAACUUCGACAUUGUAUUCUCCGGGACCUGCCGGGAUGACAUGCAGGGGGAAAGAGUUUUGCUGAGAAGAUGAGGCGGAAGGGAGUUUGACCUUUAAGAAGGGAUUGGUUCGUUUCCAGAAGAGGGCAAGUCAAGUAUAGGCUUGGCCUGGUUUGGACUCGACUACUUUGCAGUUUUCGUAGGGGUUUGGAUCACCAUGGACAGUAACUUCGACACCAUUGUGUCGGAAUUUGAGACAUUGGUGUAAGGUGGAAGGGAAUCCUCAAAACUAGUUCAAUGACCAGUUGUGGAGAAGUCAAUGUCAAUUUAGAAGGGCCAUCCCUCAAUCACUGUUUCCAGCGUCCUUGCCUUCCCGGAGGUCAUAGUGACUAUUGAACGGAGCAGACACGGUUGCUUAGAGAAGAUGCGCAGGCCAGCAAGAACCACAGAAAAUGCACUUUAGUUGAAUGCGUAAGCUAGGUGCCUAUGAUAUCUGUGCUUAGUUCGAAAAGGUGUCUUCAAGGAGUUCCUAAAAACUUUCUAUCUUUUUGAACAUUGUUUUCGACGACAUGUCAUAGAUGGAUAUAUUCGUAAGUGCGCUCUCCUGCGCCCCUAGUUGUAAGGGGCCUUCACAAGCCGACGGUUAGGGGCGCAGUAUGCUUCUUCUCAUGUGGUGGAGUCAGGGUCUACUUCAAUACCUCGCUGACAACAGAUGAACCUUAUCCGGAUAUCGCUGCUACACUUAAGGAAAUCCAAACUACAGCGCUUUUGCCUAGGCGCCUCGGAUAAAGUUAGGUCUCUAUAUCCAAAUGUCGUCGAAAACUAAAGGAAAGGGGGGCCUACCAACCACUCAUGAAAAGCCAGAGCGCGAGUCGUCAAGUAGAUACGGCUCGUGAAUGUACGCAUCGAUGUUCGAGAAUCGAAUCACAUAUGGUAAGUCGAAGUGCGAAUCUUAUCAGCUCGCUUAAGCAGAUAGCACAGCCUCCUUUCAAACAGUCGCCCUCACCGAGACAGUACCGAUAACGGAAGACUUCAAAAACAGAGAUUCAGAAAGAAAAGAAGCAACGGAUUUGCGCCAUAGGAGGGGAUGACUUACAACUCGCAACCAGAGGCUUUCUUUGAGUCUCCUCCCUUAUCGUAGGACUUGACUUCCCUUCCUUUGGAGCUGCAUAGCUAAGGUUUCGUUACUGUCUUUAGAGCUCUGCUUCUUCUUUUAGAGGUAUUUUACCUGUGUCUUAAGGGGUGAAGAGACUAACCACUUCCACUUUCAAGCAGUCGGUUAGCUAUUAGCUAAUUGAUAGAAGUAUUUCCUUCUGUCCUGUUCUUAAGAAACAGGAACUUCAAGAUGAGAGAGACCAACGGAUCCCACUCACGAGGGAGCAGGCGAGCUGUCUUACUUGACCGAACAAUCGGCACUGAUAGGACUGUAAUCUAAUCUAUCUUUCUCCUUCAAAGUAGGCGGUAUUCACUAGCUUAUGUAUGAGGUCUAUCAUUCAGGCAGUAGGCACUGGCUUAGCAGGUGAUAGUAGGCACUGGCUUAAGGCGAUAGAGGGUAAGGGAUGCUAGCGCUCUGAUCCUAGUAUUCCUUGCUUCAGUUGGUUCAGGAAGCUUUGGCAUCGGGACGCAUUACGAUAGCUAGGCCGGGUGGGAUUCUCUAUCUUGGUUAUUCAUCAAGUGGAUCCUUUGCCCCUUACCUCAGUAGCUGGGCCCGGAAGGCGGUAACCGGCUUCGGUUCAAACUCUUCAAACAAUAAGAGGGAGCCGAGACGGAUUUGAAUGAAGUGGAACCUAUUUCGAAUCAAUCGGUCAAAUCACUCGACUGCGGAAAUGAAUCUAUUGAAAGAGGCCCAUUAGCCCGAACCUUUCGUCGGCCAAAACAAACUCCUAUUCUUGGCUCCGGCGGUCUCUUCUAUUCAAAUUCAAAAAAGUCAGUAUGCGGUCCCAAAACCCCCUCCGAGACUUCUACUUAACUGCCUGCUGAAAGGCCUUUCUGUCUUGCAGUUGGCUACCUUCCACUUGGCCUCUUCUGCUCUUAUCUCUCGGAUAUCUCCAGCCCGGUGAUGAAUCUUCUUCCACUCUCAAACCUCUAAGGAGUUUUAGAGCAAUGUCUUUAUUGGCGGUUGCGCGACCUUCGAUUGAAGCGACUUCUGCGGAUUGCGACUGCAUCUGGUGUUGGAUCAAGGCUCUCAGUCGCUCAAGACGUCGAUGCGCCACCGGGUCGACCCGCAACUGGUCCGACGCAACUUACCGGUGAUAGUCGUUUCAUCUCAUCACCCGAUAUGGAAACCAAAACAACGUCUGGUGCGCCCUCCUCUACUCCUAUUUCGGCUCUUAUACAUGCUGCUCCCUGGCCCAGUCUUUCUACCCAAGCAUAUCUUCCAAGACCUCAAGACUCAUUUUGAUAUGCGCGGAACCGAUGAGUGAUCAGAGCGACCCGCAACUUACCAGCAUGUGGAGUUGCGAUGGAUGCCAAGAUGAAGACUCCUCUGCGCCAAGGAUCUUAGGGGUACCACAAAUAGUUGGAUCGAAAGACUUUAGUGACCGGAAGAACAGCCGGGGUAACAACCCUUAGAAUCUGAAGAUCAGAAGGAGAGGGUUGAACGGGAAGAGGAGGAUCGAGGUAGCCAUAUCUAUUGCGGAUAAUCGGAAUAUCCAUGAGUGGAUAUGGGUAGGGCGCCUCUUCUAUUCCUUCGCUUCGCUAUCGAUCCUCCUACCAGAGAGGCAGGAUAAAUGAACACAUCUGCUGGAACCAACUAUCUAUGCUUCUCGGGCGAUACCUCUCCGGCACUCUAGAGUGAACUUUCAGACCUCCAUAUCCACGAUUUCUCUUAUUAACGGAAUACCAACUGAAGGAGCCACGGGCGGGACAGAACCAACCCAUGAAGGAACGAAUGAAGGCGAAGAAGUGGUCGAGACCCUGUGAAUUGAUUGCUAGCGAUUUUUUUUUGUCUCAGAAUGACCGGCUUUAGGAAAGGUUGCCCCGAACGAAUGAGAUAGAUGGUCGGGUCCACGCUUGCUUGAAAGGGAAGAUCUUCCCACCCGGGUUCAAUGCCUGCUUCUUUCAAGUCCUGCUUCCGCAUUGGGGAUUUCGGCCAUUUGUCUAUACACGGCUUACCAUUCCAAAUCCUACACCUGAGACUGAAAUGAGGAUGAGAUUUGGCUAAAGUCCGCAGAUAUGUGCCGAUGACUUUUGUUGGCCUAGUGAAUUUUGUUC
rnacentral:lncRNA from 1 species